rnacentral:rRNA from 1 species
AGAGGGGGCAAGCGUUAUUCGGAAUUAUUGGGCGUAAAGGGCGCGUAGGCGGCUUUUCAAGUGACGGGUGAAAUCCCUCGGCUUAACCGAGGAACUGCCUGUCAGACUGGAAGGCUUGAGACCGGGAGAGGUGAGUGGAAUUCCCAGCGUAGCGGUGAAAUGCGUAGAUAUUGGGAGGAACACCAGUGGCGAAGGCGGCUCACUGGACCGGAACUGACGCUGAGACGCGAAAGCGUGGGGAGCAAACAGGAUUAGAUACCCUGGUAGUCCACGCCGUAAACGAUGAGUGCUUGGUGUAGCGGGUAUCGACCCCUGCUGUGCCGAAGUCAACACAUUAAGCACUCCGCCUGGGGAGUACGGUCGCAAGACUG